CCUACGGGAGGCAGCAGUCGAGAAUCAUUCACAAUGGGGGAAACCCUGAUGGUGCGACGCCGCGUGGGGGAAUGAAGGUCUUCGGAUUGUAAACCCCUGUCAUGUGGGAGCAAAUUAAAAAGAUAGUACCACAAGAGGAAGUGACGGCUAACUCUGUGCCAGCAGCCGCGGUAAUACCGAGGUCGCAAGCGUUGUCCGGAAUCACUGGGCGUAAAGGGUGCGUAGGCUGUUGCGUAAGUCGUGUGUGAAAGUCGCGGGCUUAACCCGCGGACGGCACAUGAUACUGCGAGACUAGAGUAAUGGAGGGGGAACCGGAAUUCUCGGUGUAGCAGUGAAAUGCGUAGAUAUCGAGAGGAACACUCGUGGCGAAGGCGGGUUCCUGGACAUUAACUGACGCUGAGGCACGAAGGCCAGGGGAGCGAAAGGGAUUAGAUACCCCUGUAGUC
rnacentral:rRNA from 1 species